UACGGGGGGAGCAAGCGUUGUUCGGAUUUAUUGGGCGUAAAGAGCGUGUAGGCGGCCAGGUAGGUCCGUUGUGAAAACUCGAGGCUCAACCUCGAGACGUCGGCGGAAACCCUCUGGCUAGAGUCCGGAAGAGGAGAGUGGAAUUCCUGGUGUAGCGGUGAAAUGCGCAGAUAUCAGGAAGAACACCCGUGGCGAAGGCGGCUCUCUGGGACGGUACUGACGCUGAGACGCGAAAGCGUGGGGAGCAAACAGG
rnacentral:rRNA from 1 species